rnacentral:rRNA from 1 species
UACGGAGGGGGCUAGCGUUGUUCGGAAUUACUGGGCGUAAAGCGCGCGUAGGCGGACCUGCAAGUCGGGGGUGAAAGCCCGAGGCUCAACCUCGAGACGUCGGCGGAAACCCUCUGGCUAGAGUCCGGAAGAGGAGAGUGGAAUUCCUGGUGUAGCGGUGAAAUGCGCAGAUAUCAGGAAGAACACCCGUGGCGAAGGCGGCUCUCUGGGACGGUACUGACGCUGAGACGCGAAAGCGUGGGGAGCAAACAGG